AUUCAAGGCCUUAACCACAAGACCACCCUUUUCUUUCAGGAAGGUUUUCUACUCAGCAUUUCUGCUUUGGCUGUGCCUUCUAUCUGGCUUCGUUUGUAAGAGAUGUUCAGCACUGCUUUGAUCAAGGGUGCCAGGGCAGAUCCUUGAUGGACUUCAACUGUGCUAUGGCCAUUUGCACCAGCUAAAUAUCUGCCUCCUUGUCCAAAACACAAUUCUGGUCAGAUUGCAUUCCCCUUCAGACACAUCAAGACUGUUUAGAUCCAAAGAGCCUGUAUUUCCACUGCC